UGCUACGGAGUGUGAUGUGCCUGGGCUGUGGAUUCAGUGUUCCCCUCAGCGCGGCUCCAGUGCUGAGAUUCCAUCCUAUGGCAGGCUUGCCUAGUUGGUGUGGCGGUUGACCCAAGAUGGUGCCCAGAGAAUCUUGCAUCCUGGUAUUCUUGCCUUGGACACUGAGCAGGGUUGACCUAUGUGGCCGGGAGAAUACUGCUGAAGCAACGCUCUGUGGCUUCCGAGGCUGGGCUGUAAAAGCAUUCUGCAGCUUCUGUGUGGUCUCCUGGAUUUACACCAUCGGCAAGCCAGCCGCCAUACUGUGAGGACUCUCAGACAGCCCCCGUGGAGGCCCACGUGGGGAGGAACUGAUGAGCCCACCAACCGCUGGCACCAACUUACUUGCCAGCCACAUGGGUUGGCUAUGUGGAAGUAGAUCCUCCUGCCCCAGUCAGGCUUUGAGAGGACUGUGGCCCUCGCUGCCGUCCACCUGCAGUCCCCUGAGAAGCCCCAAGACAGAACUGCCCAGCCAUGCUGCUCCUGCAUUCCUGACAAUUCCUCAUAGAAACUGUGAGAAACAGGAAGUGAUUAUUGCUCUUUUAAGCCGCUAAGCUUCAGGGUAAUUUGUUACGCAACGCUAAAUGACUAAUACAGUUGAUUACUGUGGUUCUCCUAAGUUUCUAAGAUGGCUGCCCAGGAUCCCAGCCGCCAGCUUAUUCAUGCCUCAUGUGAUGCCCUCCCCUUGAGCGUGGACUGGACACAGUGACUCGCUUCUAAUGAAAGAACAAGACACACCUGAUGGGGUGUCACUUUGAGCUUAUAUUUCCAAAAGACGCUGGCUUCCAUUAUGUUUGCCUCUCUUGCUCUCUCACUGGCUCUGAGGAAAGCAAGCUGCCAUGUUGUGAGCUGCCCUGUGGAGGAGCCCACGUCGCCAAGAACUGAGGGACGUCUCCAGCCAACAGCCGGUGAGGAACCCAGACCAAGGGUCCAGCAGCUUGUGAGGAGCAGAAUCUCGCCAGCAACCAUGUGGGUGAGUUGAACCCCAGCAGACGCCUUGGUUCCAGACUUGUGAGAGACUCUGAACCCCAGGGCUCUGUAGCUGCCCCCAAAAUCCUACUGCACAGAAACUGUGAGGUAGUUAAUGCUUGUUGUUUGGAGCUGCUGAGUAUGGGGGUCAUUUGUUACGAAGUAGGGGGUAACUAACACAGUUCUGAUGAUUGGUGUCGACCUCCCCUACCCUGUCCCCAGGAGAGCUGCGUGGCUGUGGUCUACACUUGGGUCUCAGCCUGCCAUCCUAACCUUGGUCAUAGAAGGUGGCGGGGGGCCGUUGAGGGCAUGAGAAUAGGAGGGAGCACAACUUAUUACCUGCCACUUUCUGCAACACCAAGUCAGCCUCCGUAAGAGCAGAGGAGGUGAAUAAGCAGGUGGGUGAGACGUACAUUCAAGGCCAGGCUAUGCCACCUUGUACCCGUGUGGCCUUUAACAGAGGUACAAGAACUCCCCAGGCUCCAGUUGCCAAGAAGCCCUCCUGGCAGAGAGGGGAGCCGCAGAGUGAUCAGACUGCCCAGGCAGCACCAGCCAGAGAGCCGACACGCAGACUGAGCAAGAGGAUCUUGGGUGCUGGCACAUGGCGGGUGCUUGAUGCAACCUUAACCCUGUAGCUGUCGGGAUUCUCAGCCUCAUCGGCUUCAUGGCAGCCACUGUUGUAACGAUGUCCUCAUAGCACCUCCGGGUGCCCGGACCUGGGAGGACCUCGGGAGGAUGCCCGCUCUUCAGAGACCUCGAAGCCUCAGUUUGUGCAAUCACCCCUGCUUUGCUGGGGGCUUCCCGAAGGAAUGUUCCCUGGAUCUGGUCACCCCUCGUCCAGUGAGUAUGAGCCUGAGCUCUGCACGGCAUCCUGCCCAGAAUAGCAAUGGCUCGCUCAACUUUCUGGAAGUCUCCCGCUCUCCUCCUGCGUGCUGAGGGUCUCUGCCUUGCUUGGGUGUUUAUUUCUUGCUCUACGAAGCGAUGAUUUAAUUCUUGCCUGGGAUAUCAUUCAGCCCAAGUUCAUGCUGAAGUGAAACAUAUUUCAGCACCCACCAAUUUCCAUAUAGAUAAAAAAAGAAAAAAACAAGAAAGAAGGCAAACAGCCUCCACCAGCAUCUUCACAAAACUAUGCGUUUGAAACCUGUUUCUUGAAGAUGGAUUGCUCCAUCAGGCUGCUAAGAGGUUUUUCUUGACUUGUCAACAGUUUUAUACCCCCACAAACAUUCAUGGCUAUAAAUUAUUCAUUGCCCAGUUAGUGGUUAAAAAAAAAAAGGAUGCCUGGGGCCGAGGUACAUUCUUAAUUCUCCCUCUGCUUUUCAGAUCCAAGUUGUUUUUUUCCUUCCUGCUGCUGGAAAAAUAGAAAUAACUGCAAGUCUCUUGACUCAGAGGUUCAUGGCUAUGGGCCUAACGAGAAGGUCCUGCUGAGCCCAAUAUGAGCUUGGCUGGGAGGGUGUGGGUAGUCAUCUGUGGGUCACCUGAGUUCUCAAAUACAUGUGGAGGUGGGAAAUAGGUGUGUUGGGGGCUUUCUUCUUCUUCUUCUUCUUCUUUUCUCCUGUUGGCAGGAACUCCAGGGUUUUCAAAAAAGCAGAGAGGAGACUUGAUUCUAUUCUAGGCCCAGCCAUUUCAGAGACCAUGGCUGGAGAAGGUCUGAGACUUCCUCUGCUCACCGGCUUCCACCCUCCCUGGACCUCUCCCAGGGCGGGGAUCCUACCAGGAGAUAGCACGUCCCUUGUCUUUCUCCUUUUGCCUACCCUCUCUUGUCCAGCACACCCUUGGACGUCCCCCUGAACCUAACUGGCCUCCUCUUCCAGCAGGGUUUUUCAAGUCUACCGCCACCUGUGGGAUGUGGUUAGAGGUAGUGGGGGAGCGAGGUUUCAGAGCUUGGGGCCUGUAUGGGCCAUGACAAAGCUGUCCAAACUGGGUGGCUUAAAACAACAGAAAUCCAUUCUCUACAGUCCUGGAGGCUAGGAGUCAGGAAUGAAGAUGUCUGCAGGGCUGUGCUCGCUCCAGCCUCUGCCGCCAGGUAGAACCUUCCUCGCCUCUCCCUAGUUCCUGGGGAUGGCCCUCCAUCCCUGGCCUGCAGCUGGAGUUUCUACUUCAUUGUCAUAUGGUAUCCUCCCUGUGUGUCUCUUUGUCCCCCUCUCUUCUUCUAGGGACACCAAUCACAUGGAAUGAUGGGCCUACCCUACUCUUCAUCUUAACGUCCCCUGUUAUAUCUGCAAAGACCCUAUUUCCAAGUAAGGCCACAUUCACAGAGAGCAAGAGUUGGGAUUUCAACAUAUCUUUUUGAGGAACACAACUCAGCCCAUGACAGGGUCAGAGGAGGGAGGCACCUCCAGCGAUCGGGCCCAGAGCAGAGAUCAGAAGCUUCAGAAGGUCAAAGAGUUGGCACCUACUGAGAGCUCGCCUUCCCUCACAACACUCUGGCAUGUUAUUACCCCGAACGAGUGUCUGUUGCCCCAGCCCUGAGGCACAGUACCAGAGGCCUCUUCUCCGACUGGCUGCGGAUGGGCCAGGCUCUGGUGUGGGCCUGAACACCUGUCCUUUUCACAUGGGCUUAGAGAGAAAAUUGGGUUGACGGUAGGACUGACCCAUCUCGAAUGGGAACUGGAUGUCCCUGGAGAGUAGCUGCCUUGGACCUUGUCCAGUGGCCUGGUUUGAGAACCCAGUGUCCACCUGCCACAGCAGGACAUGUGGCCUCUUGUGUGGCCCCUUACUCCACCUUGACCCCCAGUUCCUCCCCCUUCCUCAUGUUUUCCCCAGGCAUUGGGGGCUUUGCUGGGCAGCAUCUCUGGGUGGGCUCUGGGAAGGCCUCUGGGGUCCCCUGUUCAAUCUGGAGAGAAUCGGCUGGUGGCAGCUCAGCAGUCUCAUGCCUGUGCCCUGCUGAGUGAGGCGGUGUUGUGUGGGGAGUGACAAUGGGACUGGACAUGGGGUUGUUUUCCCCCAACCCUAUUCCCUAAUGUGGGGAAAAGGAUUAAUCAUUUCAUUUCCAAUAUUUUGUAUGUGGAAUGCUGAGGAAGAGAAGUGGCCGAGAGUUUGGGCUUCCAGAGAAGACUUCCAGAUGCUGCAUUUGAAAACACCAGGGGACAUUAGGUUUUGUCAAGGACAUCGGUGCCCAACUUCUGUCACCUUUCACCAGCCCAGCUAUGGGGAAGGGGAAAGCAAUGGGGAAGGGGACAGCAGACCAAAGAGGCAGGGGCCCAAUGGUCCUGACUCAACUCAUUGGAUGUGGUUGUUACUUUCUGGGUUACCCACCUUUGAUUCAAUUUAAGUUUAAGUCAGAUCAAGAACCGCUGGAGCUCCUCUGAGACAGGCCACCCCUAGGUGUGGCAAUGAGGCAGUUUGGAGUGUAGGCAGCUGAGGGAAUGAAGAGGAGCUCGGUGGGAGCCCUUGGCCCAUGACGGUUGAGGGAGACAGAAACGAAAUGCCAAGCACCCCACAUAUGAUAUUUUAUGUACUCCUUAUACCCCCACAGAUGAGGUGACCUUGGCUCUGAGAGACCAAGUGAUCUACUCAGGUCACCUGGCUAGUAAGUGGCAGAGCCUCACAGGCCCAAAGUUCCUGAAUGGGAGGACUUCUUUUUCAGGCCAGUAGUUUACCCGUCCCUCUGGUCACAUAGUAGUGGGUGGUGGCUGAGUCCAAAUGAUCUUUGGGCAAAUGAGAUUCCUUCCCAGGGCUGAGGAUCUGAGUAGAAGCUUUUGGAGCGGAGUGCUGCCCCCUCCUUGGUUGUCUGGGGAGCCGCACGUGUGAUGCAUCUAGGUGCUAGCCAUAUUGAUGGAGGAACUGCAAACCCCAGGAUGGGCAGCCCACCACUGGGGCACCAAGGUGGGGAAUUACUCAGAGGAAGAAGCCAUAGCAGGGAAUGGAGGGAACGCACUCUCCUGGGAGCAGCGGGUGAAAAUUCUCUUUUCAUUCAAAGGCCAAAGAGUCAAAUAAAAGGAGGUCUUCUGAAAUGGGGCUUUUUCAGGGAGUACUAAGAAGCAUUUUGCAGAAAUCCAGACUGUUGUAAGGAGAAACAAGAGUAGCAAGAUGUCCCCAAAAUAAAUGUAUUAAUUAAUUCCAUCAUCUUUUCUAUCAUCCAGGUCAUUUAGUUUCUUUUUUUAUUAUUAUUAUUAUUUCUUUCUUAAGACUGGAUUCUUUGAAAUAAUCUGGAAAUGACUAUGUAGGUCAUUUGUUUUCUGUAUCUUUUAAAAAUUUAUUUUAUUAAAAAAUUUUAAAAUUCAAGUAUAAUUAAGAUACAGUGUUAUAUUCAUUUCAGGUGUACAACAUAAUGAUUCAACAAUUCUAUACAUUUUUUGGUGCUCAUCACAAUAAGUGUACUCUCUAUCUUUUUUUUAUUAAUAAUUUUGUUGAGAUGUAAUUCACCUAUCACAUAGUUCAUUCAUUCAAAGUGUACAACUCAGUGGUUUUUAGUAUAUUCAUCAAGCUCUGCAUCCACCACCAUGAUAAAUUUUGGAACAUUCUUUAUCCUCCAAGAGUACAGCCUUGGGCAGAGCUCCACCAGCCUGGGAUGGCAGUGGUCUCAGGAGGGCCCUCUUUGUCUGUUUUUGAUCUCUUUGUUGUCUACUUCAUUUGGUAAUAGACCCAGUCCCUUUCCACUAAUCACUGGCUGAUUGCUCAAUUGUUUUCAAAAAUGCCCUGGCAUAUAAAUUGUUCUCUGGUCUGAUCCAAUUAAGUUCAGGCAGCCUAUGAAGUUGGUUGGGAGCCCAGGAGGACUCUUCUUGGCUGUCUCUUUCCCUGGUUCUCUCUGGUGAACCAGCUGGCUUUUCGUUUAGCUGGUUGCUGUAAAUUAAGAGGAGCUGUUGUUUUCAGGAGUGCCCUUAGGCUUGAACUUCCCCACAUUCUGUUUUACAUACAGUCACUUCCUUCCUUCAGGGGUGCUUGGGAGCUCUUUCCCACACACUGCCUUCUCCCCUGGGCACGCUCUCUGAGCUCUAGCCCUGUGUGCCUCCCAUCUUCUCAGCUUGCCUCCCCCAUGGGAACUGUGCAGUAGGAGACAGCUUGCAGGGGGAAGCUGGGGUUCCGGUCUUCUUGGCCUGCCCUGCCUAGGGGCAGCUGGAAGGAAGGUAGUCCCGACCUCUCCACCACACUCCCCAGGAAUUCAGCCUUUUUAACUUGGAGUUGGAGGGCAUGAGGAAUGCUGGUGGCCUGUCCCUCCAUGAAGGAGAGAAAUGUGCUUGUGGCUGAAAUGCCACAGACUCUGGCUGUUCCUACUGCAUUUUAGUAGAUUUUCUUGAACAGAUGAUUCUUCAUUUGUCAUAUGCUCUUAGGACAGUUCCCAGAGACUUUAAAUGGGUUUUCUGUUUGUUUGUUUGUUUUGUUUUUUUAGUAGUUUUGCCAGCUUUGCUUGUUUCACUACGGAAUGGUCCAUGGAGUUAUUCAUGCUUUGUCCCAGAAGUGGAAACUAUUGUUUUACCCUAAUAAUGAAGGCAUCUUUAUAUUAAUGAAUUUAUCUCCAAAUAGAGCUUUUAUGGGAUGUGAUGAGUUUCAACAAGUCAUAUUCUGAUUUUCUGUUGUAUUUAUUAUUUUCUAAACUCAAUAAGAAGAAUAUUUUAGUUUUCAAAUGUGUUAUUGUCUAUCUAUCUAUCAUCUAUCUACCCAUCAUCUAUCAGUCUAUCUAUUUUUGGUUUUCAGGCUUUCAUUGUUCCAGUGUAGCUUUUGCUGGAUUUUCUGGUUUGGAAAAUGGCUUGUAUAAUUUCUGCCUUUUGUAACUUAAAAAGUUUAUCGUUUUGGACAAGUAAGUAUGUGAUAAGUUUUUGUAAAUGCUCUAUCACCACCAACUUGAGAAAAAGGUAUAUUCUCUGCUUGUGGGGCACAAAACUCAAUGUCUAUCUAUUUAAUGUUAUUAAUCAUGUUGUUCAGUCCCCUAGGUAUAUAACAGGCAAUACUCCAACAGAUGGAGAUGGGGUAGGAGGAGCAGAGCAAUUGUGAAGCAAACUUGUAAAGCGAUCUUGGCUAGCUCAUGGUGAUUUCAUGGGAAAUGCUACUUGACUCAUCUUCCCCAGAGGCUUAUCCAGGUAGAAUAGGGCACAGAUUCAUAAGACUUUUGGAUUAGAAGGGCCCUUGGAGAUUUUAUAGCUCCUCUUCCUGGCUUUACAAACAAGGACAAUGACUUGCCCAGGGUCACAUGGCUGGCAAACUCUGAAGCUGGGAACGGAAUGCGGGUCCUUGGAUUCUGGUAAGGGCAUGGAGUCUCUGUUUCUGCCCGGCUUCUGGUGUGCUGUAUCCUGUUUCAGACUUUAUUUUUGUCCCUGGGACAGUUAGUGCCUUAAGAAUGGGUGAGCUACAUCUCAUGAAAAAAAAAAAAGCCUUCUAUAUUUAUUUGUAGGUACUUUAUAAUUUGCUGGGCGCACUUUUAUAUGCCUCACCUAAUUUAGUCUUCAUAGUCCAGUGACAUUUAAGGCAGCGCUGAUACCUCAGUCCUGUGGGUGAAGAAAGCAGGGCUCAGAGACUCUAAGUCCACAUCAGCCCCAGGGUCUUCUGCCCCCCGCCCCCGAGGUCAUGCAUUCAAUCACAGGACCCUGGAGUCCAGUCCCAUCUUGGCCCAGAACCAAUAUUCAGACUUUCAUUUCCCAAGUGGUUCUUUUGGGGUAAAAUUGUAACAUCCUGUACGAUUUUUCUGUCCUCUAUUGGAACAGUACCCUAGGGAGCUGGCGGAGGUUCAUGAACACAGUGCUAGCAUUGUGCUUUGCUCAGCUGCUCUGUGAGAGACUCAGAAGCGCCAUGUGGGGAUGGCUGGGCUCUUGGACUGGAACACAGGACCAAGGCAGCAGUGAAGAGUGGCCUUCAUAAGUCUCCAUCCGUGAUGGAUUGGAAAUUGAGAAACAAAAUACCCACUAGUUCAUCACCAUAGAGGAUUUAAGUGCUGGGACCAGCCACUCCCUGGAAUUCCCCUCGUGCUGAGAUGCCAAGACCCUUUGAGGGGGAUGUGCCUUUGCCUGCAGUGACCUUGGGCCCCGACCCCUGGGAUUAAUUGCCAUGACAGAAAGACACAAGGCUGGCUUUUUGGGCCCUGGCCUGCUCACUUUGCCUGGGAAGUAGAGCCUUUAGGUACCUCUUGUUGUACCUAGAGGAGCCUGUUCUUAUUUAAAAUUUUGAUACUUUGUUCAUCAUGUUUGUUUUGCAUUCAUUUGGAUUAUUUAGAAUAUUACAUUAAAAUAUUAUUUUUCUUGA